CGCCUCUAGGUAAAUGUUAGAGGUCUGGUCUGCCCAGUGUUGUAAAAUUAACGGCCGCGGUAUUCUGACUGUGCAAAGGUAGCAUAAUCACUUGCCCUUUAAAUGGGGGAAUGUAUGAAUGAUUAGACGAGGUUUUAGCUGUCUUUUCCUUAAAAGUUGAGAUUACAUUGCUCGUGAAAAUGCGAGCAAAUUUUUAAUGGACGAGAAGACCCUGUUGAGCUUUUGAAUGAAACAUAGGUGUAAGUUAACUUAAAUAAGUGGUUAUUAUUGAAAUGUACAUGUUUGGUAAAUUCUUUGGCUGGGGUGGCAAGUAAAGAUAUUAAGCUUUAUUCAAAUUAAAAUAAAUUAAUGUUACGAGACGGUAUAUGUCAACAAAUGUUAGGAUGAUCCGUUAGACUAAGCGAUUAAUAGAAUAAGUUACCACAGGGAUAACAGCGUUAUUCUUUUUGAGAGCUCGAAUUGACAAAAGAGUUUGCGACCUCGAUGUUGGAUCAAGAUUCCUGGCGGUGUAGCAGCUGCUAUGGGUUUGCCUGUUCGGCGAUUAAAAUCU
rnacentral:rRNA from 1 species